UACGUAGGGUGUAAGCGUUGUCCGGAAUUAUUGGGCGUAAAGAGCUCGUAGGCGGUUUGUCGCGUCUGCUGUGAAAACGCGAGGCUCAACCUCGCGCCUGCAGUGGGUACGGGCAGACUAGAGUGCGGUAGGGGAGAUUGGAAUUCCUGGUGUAGCGGUGGAAUGCGCAGAUAUCAGGAGGAACAGCCGAUGGCGAAGGCAGAUCUCUGGGCCGUAACUGACGCUGAGGAGCGAAAGCGUGGGGAGCGAACAGG
rnacentral:rRNA from 1 species